rnacentral:tRNA from 1 species
CGCGGUUUAGAGAAGUGGCCCAUCUUGCCUGGUUCAUACCCAGGAGAGCGCUGGUUCGAAUCCAGCAACCGCAACCA